rnacentral:rRNA from 1 species
GACGGGGGGGGCAAGUGUUCUUCGGAAUGACUGGGCGUAAAGGGCACAUAGGCGGUGAAUCGGGUUGAAAGUGAAAGUCGCCCAAAAGUGGCGGAAUGCUCUCGAAACCAAUUCACUUGAGUGAGACAGAGGAGAGUGGAAUUUCGUGUGUAGGGGGUGAAAUCCGUAGAUCUACGAAGGAACGCCAAAAGCGAAGGUAGCUCUCUGGGUCCCUACCGACGCUGGGGUGCGAAAGCAUGGGGAGCGAACAGG